rnacentral:rRNA from 1 species
CUACGGGUGGCACCAGUGAGGAAUAUUGGUCAAUGGCCGAGAGGCUGAACCAGCCAUCCCGCGUGCAGGAUGACGGCCCUAUGGGUUGUAAACUGCUUUUCUACGCCAAGAAAUCUGAUUACGUGUAAUUAGUUGACGGUAGCGUAGGAAUAAGCAUCGGCUAACUGCGUGCCAGCAGCCGCGGUAAUACGGAGGAUGCAAGCGUUAUCCGGAUUCAUUGGGUUUAAAGGGUGCGCAGGCGGGCUUGUAAGUCAGUGGUGAAAUACUGCCGCUUAACGGUAGAACUGCCAUUGAUACUGCAAGUCUUGAAUAUGGUUGAGGUAGGCGGAAUGUGUUGUGUAGCGGUGAAAUGCAUAGAUAUGACACAGAACGCCGAUUGCGAAGGCAGCUUACUAAGCCAUUAUUGACGCUGAGGCACGAAAGCGUGGGGAGCGAACAGGAUUAGAUACCCUCGUAGUC